rnacentral:rRNA from 1 species
GACGAACGCUGGCGGCGUGCUUAACACAUGCAAGUCGAACGGAAAGGCCCUGCUCUUGUGGGGUGCUCGAGUGGCGAACGGGUGAGUAACACGUGAGUAACCUGCCCCUGACUUUGGGAUAACUUCAGGAAACUGGGGCUAAUACCGGAUAGGAGCUCCUGCUGCAUGGGGGGGGUUGGAAAGUUUCGGCGGUUGGGGAUGGACUCGCGGCUUAUCAGCCUGUUGGUGGGGUAGUGGCUUACCAAGGCUUUGACGGGUAGCCGGCCUGGCAGGGUGACCGGCCACAUUGGCACUGGGGUACGGCCCGGACGCAUACGGCGGCAGCAGUGGGGAAUAUUGCGCAGUGGGCGGGAGCCUGAUGCAGCGACGCCGCGUGCGGGAUGACGGCCUUCGGGUUGUAAACCGCUUUCGCCUGUGACGAAGCGUGAGUGACGGUAAUGGGUAAAGAAGCACCGGCUAACUACGUG